rnacentral:rRNA from 1 species
UUUGGUGGCGAUAGCGAAGAGGUCACACCCGUUCCCAUACCGAACACGGAAGUUAAGCUCUUCAGCGCCGAUGGUAGUNCUGAGGUGGAAGUGUGGCGACACAUGGAGCUGACAGAU